rnacentral:lncRNA from 1 species
UGAUAUGGCCACAGGAAAGGAGAGUACCCAGAAUUUGUCAGCCAGGACUUACCAGGACUUGUGAUAGAACAAAAUUGCCAGUGGGGAACUUGAGGCUCAUUCCUCAUAGAGAACCAACAGGGCUCCAAAUCACCAAACUUCUUUGCCUCUCUGGGAAAACUAAAUGACCCACCACUUCAGAAGAAGGUCAUGGGGUCUGUGCACAGCUUUUCACAUCCUCCCUGAAACACCAACACGCCCGGUCCAGGUUAAAGGAUAUCAGCACUGCCACACACUCUUCUUUUUCCCAAAUUAAUCAAGAAGUAGGAAUUUCUGACAAAUGCCAUCUGCUGAUUUUUCAGAGAGACAAGUUUUGGUGGUGUGACCAGCAGGUGCCUCGGCUUUUUCUAGCAUGCAGUACCAAAAUAGUCACCAUGGCAACCCUGGGAGGGCAGACUUCCAAAGAGAUGCAUUGUGAGCUCAGAAACUCUAGAGCACUUUCAAGCUAAAAGGAAGGAGGCUCAGCAGUGGGUUUCCAACUGUGGCCUCCUUCCUUGGUUCACAAUGACAGUCCAACUUCUGCCAGUCCUGACUGUCAUUCAAGCCUUUUUGCUAUUUAAGAAUUUUGAGGAAGAAAACCGUCAUGUACUCAAAAUCCUGGUAAUCAGAAGUGUCUGGAGAUUUCGAGCUGUUAACAUAGAGAGGUGGCAAAAUUAUUUUCUGGGAUAUCCUUAUGGGCCUGAAUGGCAGCGGGAGUCGACAUAGCUGGUGCCUGGGCAGGUUUCCAAAGCACAGCCGAGGUGGAGAGUAGGUGAGGGCUGCAACAAAGGUCCCGACAUCUGAAGAGCACUGCACAGUUUGUCAGAGGAUUUCAGCUCCACACUCUCACUUAGUCCUCACAGCAACCCCAUGCAGUGACUGCUGUCACUUCUUUUCAUGGCUGAGAAGACUGUUGGGAGAGGAAAAAUGAAUUGCCCACUGGCAGGCAGGUAAGAGGCACAGCUGAAACUCUCACCUAGUUCUUCUGACUCCAAGCCCAUCAUCUCAGGAUUGUACCCAAGUGGCUCUUGCACCAGUAUCAGCGCCAAUGGCAGGGUCAGCAGAAAAUAGCAGAGGGGCCUGAAAACAGAUGGGAACAUCUGGAAAAGGGCAGUGGGGAGCUGUUGAGAGCAUUUUGAGUGGGGCAGUGACACUGCUGGCUCUGCAUUUUGGAAAGGUGGUUUUCAGAGCAGUUUGGAUGAUGCUGGGGAGUAGCUGACAGGUUGAAGAUCAGUCCUGAGGAGCAGGAUUCAUAAUCCACUUAGGAAAAAGGAGGGGGGAUGCACGGAGUUAGCACAUAUUAAGUGCCUGCUGUAGUCAAGCCCUGUUGGACACCAGGGACAUCUGGACCUUGACAACGGAGCGAAGGGGUGGUCCUGCCUGCACCAGGUUUCAGGCUGACCCUCCCUGCAUCUUGGUCCCAGUGGCUUCUCAGGCUUCUCUGCAGCAUGGGUGUUCCUGCCUUGGCCAGAGCCGAAAUCCCAGAGCAGUGAAAGAGGAGCCAGUGUCAUGGGGCUUCUGGUUUCAGGACACACUGGAAAGGGCUGGUCCCUGAGUGCUCCAAGGACCCAUGCAUCUGACCAUAGGGGAUGCUGGGAGUAUCCUCCAUCCUGGCCUGAAAGAGCUCCCUUUCAGCUUCCUGGAUUCAUAUCUGUGCUUUCUGAAAACUGACUUCCCAUAUUCCCAAAGCCAUCGCCAGCUCCCAGCUUUGUCAUUCAGGAAAAAGAGUAUGCACCUCCCCUUCAUCCUCCUCAUCUCUCACCAUCAUUAAGUACAAGCCCAAGGAGAAGAAUCAAGGGCAAUGAAUCUUCAUCAAACAAUAAAAUCCUGCCUGGGGUCCAGCCACUUUGUCACAAGCUACAUCUAUGGCGAGCAACGACUCCCGGCUGCAGGGUGAGACAGAUAAGAGGAUAAGAGGGAGCAGGAGCAGACGGAGAAAGAAGGUGGCAAGACAGAGCAGGACUGUGGGUUCUCUCAACAGGGUGAACAUGAAAAAUAGAAGCCUCCAGUUUCUCCUGAUAGUGUAUAGAUGGGCAGAUCUGGCCUCAAUGGCAGAAGAUACUUGGGGAACUGGAGAAAGUACAGAAGGUGAUGUGAAAUCAAUUGGGUCAUCAAAAGAAGACGGGUGUACCACAAUUUGUUCCUCCACCUGCUGCCCAUGAACAUUUGGAGGGUUUCUAGUUUUUGGCUAUUACAAAUAAAGUUGUCAUGAACAUUUGCAUACA